CAUAGGACUAACAGGUGCAGAGAGAGAGCUGUCAGCCAUUUCCCUGCCGGCGCUCCGUAAUGAGGAUGUAUCUCGUGGUGAGAGAAAUUUAUGGUGCUGCAGUUACCUGUGUCUGUUUGGGAGUGAGCAGUGUGAGAAAACAAGAAGCGAGGAAGAGCUGAGAUUGGUAGAGUGUGUGAAAAAGAAUCGAAUCCUUCAGUGGUCUUUCUUUGACGUGAUUGGGAUCUAAAUGAAAAGACAGAGGACUCAAAGGACACGGCAGAAAAUGAGACAUGAAGUUUACAGAGAACAAGAAAGACGUCAAUGAAGAAAGUUUGGAGAAGUUUCGGGUGGAAUUUGAAUCUGGCAUGAACGGCUGGAAUAGUUCCUGUAUCAAAUGAAGGCCCGCCUUCUGAUAUACGAAAUUCUGACUUCGCUACGACAAUCUGGUGCUUCUGAAUCAGCUACUGUGCUGCUAAACCGCACCAGUCUCGCCCAACCAUGGGACCAGCUUAGUGUGUGCCAGUUUAGUUGGUGUGUAUGCCAAACGCAUGGUGGAUGUGUCUGCUGCGGGGACAUUGUAGAGCAGUUCCUGAUGGCUCGCUGGCUCCUGUGUGCUGCCUGGGUUUCAGAUCCCUGGAGGACGUGCAAUCAUCAGUGGUUAGAAAGCUUCCUGUGCAACUAAGCAUCUGCUGAAGCCGGCACAGACCUGCCGGGAAAAGAUGGUGCAGACUAAUUUUAGGGGGAUGUUUU
ensembl:lncRNA